CCCCAGGCCAAUCCAAUGGGGAUUUCUAUUUCCCCUCACUAUAAAGUGACCCAGUGUCCAGUAGUCUUCCAGACCUGGCUCUAUUUGACUGCUUUUCAGAAUGAGAGGAUUGAUCGUGGUAGUGGCUUUUGUCACAAUGAUGAUUUCAACUGAUGCUUUCCUCAUGCACGGCCGACAGCGCUGCCUCUGUACACGAACAAUCAACCUUGAGAACCGUAAGCUCAUAAUCCAGGAAACGGUUCAUCAGAGAAGUCCAACGUGUGACCGCGUAGAGAUAGUGGUACAAGUGAAGAGAGCAAGAUUCAAGAAGUUUUGCCUGAAUCCAAAUUCUACAAUUGGCAAGGAAAUACAAGCUAAGUGGAACAAGAAGAAUCGACCCUAGCGGACACAAAUUGUGUAAUAAUUACUUAAAUAUUCUUUCGGUCGCCCUUCUAAUGCUCAGUUUAACAUAAGAAACAAUAAGUAUGUACAGUGUGUAUGUAAAAAGUGUUUUGAUAAUAUUGUUUAGUUUUUUCCUUACAUUCUAUUAGCCUACUCUUAUUUAUUUACAUUUUCACAGUCCGGUGAAGUUUAGCGUGGUUCAAGUACCCGGAGGGCCAGUUUGAAAAUGUUUGCACUUACGUUUUUGCUUCAGAUAAGAACAUCUGCUAAACAACUUAACUGUGAAUUUUAUUUAAUGAAGGCAACGUUGUCUUGCUGUUAUGCACUCUGUUUUACGUGGACCUACAUAUUGCAUGUUGUUAUUCCUAUUUAUAUGAAUAUAGGCAUGCACACACCUUUGUACUAUGUUCUAUCAGAACCUUUUUCAUUUACUUUUUUUUGUAAGUCCUGGAUAGAACGUAUACAUUCCAGAACUUAACAAGAUAGAACGUAUACAUUCUAGAACAUAUCUUGAACCAAUAUUAUUUGUUUUAUAUUUACAAGACUAUCAGAAUGUAUGUAUUAUUUUAUAUAAAAAUGUGCAGGAUUAAUAAUAACUGACAACAAUGAAUAAGUAACAUAAAAACGAAAUAAUUCCUUAAUAGUUAAUGUAGGCGGAGUGUUUAACCACUGUGAAAGGUUGGGGGGACCCUAAUAAACAAAUCCAGCAACUGAA